rnacentral:rRNA from 1 species
AGUCACUGACAUUAGGAUACCCGGGUAGUCCAGGGUGUAAACGCUGCAGACUUGGUGUUGGAAGCCCUUUGGGGGCAUUCAGUGCCGGAGAGAAGUUGUUAAGUCUGCUACUUGGGAGUACGUCCGCAAGGAUGAAACUUAAAGGAAUUGGCGGGGGAGCACCGCAACGGGAGGAGCGUGCGGUUUAAUUGGAUUCAACACCGUAAACUCACCAGGGAAGACUGUUACAUGAAGGCCGAGAUGAAGACUCUGCUAGAUUUUCAG